rnacentral:rRNA from 1 species
AUUGAACGCUGGCGGCAGGCCUAACACAUGCAAGUCGAACGAGUGGCGGACGGGUGAGUAAUGUCUGGGAAACUGCCAGAUGGAGGGGGAUAACUACUGGAAACGGUAGCUAAUACCGCAUACCAUCGGAUGUGCCCAGAUGGGAUUAGCUUGUAGGUGAGGUAACGGCUCACCUAGGCGACGAUCCCUAGCUGGUCUGAGAGGAUGACCAGUCACUAGUGAAGUGGUCCACGUGUCAUACUCCGACGGGAGGCAUCAGUGGGGAAUAUGGCACAAUGGGGGUAAGCCGGAGGCAGCCAUGCGGCGUGUAUGAAGAAGUCCUUGUGGUUGUAAAGUACUUUCAGCGGUGAGGCUUUACCCGCAUAAGAAGCACCGGCUAACUCCGUGCCAGCAUCCGCGGUAAUAC